UACGAAGGGGGCUAGCGUUGCUCGGAAUCACUGGGCGUAAAGCGCACGUAGGCGGCUUACUAAGUCAGGGGUGAAAUCCUGGAGCUCAACUCCAGAACUGCCUUUGAUACUGGUGAGCUUGAGUCCGGAAGAGGUGAGUGGAACUGCGAGUGUAGAGGUGAAAUUCGUAGAUAUUCGCAAGAACACCAGUGGCGAAGGCGGCUCACUGGUCCGGUACUGACGCUGAGGUG
rnacentral:rRNA from 1 species